rnacentral:rRNA from 1 species
AGCGAACGCUGGCGGCAGGCCUAACACAUGCAAGUCGAACGAACCUUUCGGGGUUAGUGGCGGACGGGUGAGUAACACGUGGGAACGUGCCUUUAGGUUCGGAAUAACUCAGGGAAACUUGUGCUAAUACCGAAUGUGCCCUUCGGGGGAAAGAUUAAUCGCCUUUAGAGCGGCCCGCGUCUGAUUAGCUAGUUGGUUGAGGUAAUGGCUCACCAAGGCGACGAUCAGUAGCUGGUCUGAGAGGAUGAUCAGCCACAUUGGGACUGAGACACGGCCCAAACUCCUACGGGAAGCAGCAGUGGGGAAUCUUGCGCAAUGGGCGAAAGCCUGACGCAGCCAUGCCGCGUGAAUGAUGAAGGUCGUAGGAUUGUAAAAUUCUUUCACCGGGGACGAUAAUGACGGUACCCGGAGAAGAAGCCCCGGCUAACUUCGUG